rnacentral:rRNA from 1 species
UGGGGAAUCUUGCACAAUGGGGGAAACCCUGAUGCAGCGACGCCGCGUGAGCGAUGAAGCCCCUCGGGGUGUAAAGCUCUUUCGGCAGGGAAGAUUAUGACGGUACCUGCAAAAGUAGCUGCGGCUAACUACGUGCCAGCAGCCGCGGUAAGACGUAGGGGGCCAGCGUUGCUCGGAAUUACUGGGUGUAAAGGGUUCGUAGGCGGUGUGGCAAGUCGGGAGUGAAAUCUCUGGGCUCAACCCAGAGACUGCUUCCGAAACUGCUGUGCUUGAGUGUGGGAGAGGCGCGUGGAAUUGCAGGUGUAGCGGUGAAAUGCGUAGAUAUCUGCAGGAACACCCGUGGCGAAAGCGGCGCGCUGGACCACUACUGACGCUGAGGAACGAAAGCUAGGGGAGCAAACAGGAUUAGAUACCCUGGUAGUCCUAGCCCUAAACGAUCAGGACUUGGGGUGCCACCCGUUCGGGUGUCGUCCCGGAGCUAACGCGUUAAGUCCUGCACCUGGGGAGUACGGUCGCAAGAC